UACGGAGGGGGCAAGCGUUGUUCGGAUUUACUGGGCGUAAAGAGUUCGUAGGCGGUUGCGUAAGUCUGGUGUGAAAUCUUCGCCGCUUAACGGGAAGAGGUCACUGGAAACUGCGCAACUUGAGUAUGGUAGAGGCAGACGGAAUUCCUGGUGUAGCGGUGGAAUGUGUAGAUAUCAGGAAGAACAUCGGUGGCGAAGGCGGUCUGCUGGGCCAUUACUGACGCUGAGGAACGAAAGCGUGGGGAGCAAACGGG
rnacentral:rRNA from 1 species